AGAGUAAAGAAUUAUUGGUCUUGAAAAACUAAAUUGCUUGGCGGCUUACCAACUAAAUAGAGAAGCAUGCUUUUUAAUGGAUAGUACACACAAAUCUUACCUAAUAUUGUAAAUACAUUUGGUACACCGCCGUCGGAAGAACAAUUCCAUGGAAUUGUUCCAUAUUUCUCGUUUAAGGAUUUAAGUCAGGCCAAGGCAUCGAUUAUUAUUGGGUUAAAGUGUGUUUCAUUAUUA
rnacentral:rRNA from 1 species